rnacentral:rRNA from 1 species
UAGGGAAUAUUGCAAAAUGGGCGAAAGCCCGAUGCAGCAACGCCGCGUGGGCGAUGAAGGCCUUCGGGUCGUAAAGCCCUUUUUGAGGGGAUGAGGAAGGACAGUACCCUCAGAAUAAGCCUCGGCUAACUACGUGCCAGCAGCCGCGGUAAAACGUAGGAGGCGAGCGUUAUCCGGAUUUACUGGGUGUAAAGCGCGUGCAGGCGGUUGGCUAAGUUGGGUGUGAAAGCUCCUGGCUCAACUGGGAGAGGUCGCUCAAGACUGGCCGACUGGAGAGCAGGUAGGGAAGGUGGAAUUCCGGGUGUAGUGGUGAAAUGCGUAGAUAUCCGGAGGAACACCAGUGGCGAAGGCGGCCUUCUGGACUGCAUCUGACGCUCAGACGCGAAAGCUAGGGGAGCAAACG